rnacentral:rRNA from 1 species
CCGCUGGAGGAACCGCCUAAUUGCGGGUGUUACCUCUGGCCAGUGUCUGCCGAUAGCCUAAUCUCCUAACUCUGGAUCAAUCAUGAUUUACAAUGUCUAAGUGAUUUUAUUCAAUUAAAAGCAAAAACUUUCAACAACGGAUCUCUUGGUUCUGGCAUCGAUGAAGAACGCAGCGAAAUGCGAUAAGUAAUGCGAAUUGCAGAAUUCCAGUGAGUCAUCGAAUCUUUGAACGCACAUUGCGCCCUUUGGUAUUCCGAAGGGCAUGCCUGUUCGAGCGUCAUUAUCACCCCCUCAAGCCCCUGUGCUUGGUGUUGGACGGCUUGGUGGAGCGAGUUCACACUUUCCACCCCUCCUAAAGACAAUGACGGCGGCCUGCGGAACCCCCGGUACACUGAGCUUCUUUAUUGAGCACGUAUCGGAUGAAGGGUGCCCGGGGCCCGGUCUUCUCCCUCACG